UACGUAGGGUGCAAGCGUUAAUCGGAACUACUGGGCGUAAAGCGUGCGCAGGCGGUUAUAUAAGACAGAUGUGAAAUCCCCGGGCUCAACCUGGGAACUGCAUUUGUGACUGUAUAGCUAGAGUACGGCAGAGGGGGAUGGAAUUCCGCGUGUAGCAGUGAAAUGCGUAGAUAUGCGGAGGAACACCGAUGGCGAAGGCAAUCCCCUGGGCCUGUACUGACGCUCAUGCACGAAAGCGUGGGGAGCAAACAGG
rnacentral:rRNA from 1 species